GAUUAACGCUGGCAGAAUGCCUAACACAUGCAAGUCGAACGAAUCUUGCUGAUUAGUGAUGAAGUAGCUUGCUAUUGAUUCUCUAUGAAGCGCUGAUUAGUGGCGAACGGGCGAGUAACGCGUAUUCAAUCUACCUCCAAGUUGAGGAAAACUAUAGAGAUAUAGCUAAUCCUCAAUGGUCUCAUCAAAAUGAAAAUAUGAUGAGUAAAGGCUUGCCGCUUGGAGAAGAGGAUGCGUCCUAUCAGGUAGUUGGCGGGAUAAAAGCCCACCAAGCCUAUGACGGGUAACCGGUCUGAGAGGAUGGACGGUCGCAAUGGGACUGAGACACGGCCCAUACCCCUACGGGGGGCAGCAGUGGGGAAUCUUGGACAAUGGGGGAAACCCUGAUCCAGCAAUUCUGCGUGCGGGAUGAAGGUCUAUGGAUUGUAAACCGCUUUUCUGAAGGAAAACGAAUGAUGGUACUUCAGGAAUAAGCGACGGCUAACUUCGUG
rnacentral:rRNA from 1 species